rnacentral:rRNA from 1 species
CCGAGUCUUAACUGGGCGUUAAGUUGCAGGGUAUAGACCCGAAACCCGGUGAUCUAGCCAUGGGCAGGUUGAAGGUUGGGUAACACUAACUGGAGGACCGAACCGACUAAUGUUGAAAAAUUAGCGGAUGACUUGUGGCUGGGGGUGAAAGGCCAAUCAAACCGGGAGAUAGCUGGUUCUCCCCGAAAGCUAUUUAGGUAGCGCCUCGUGAAUUCAUCUUCGGGGGUAGAGCACUGUUUCGGCUAGGGGGUCAUCCCGACUUACCAACCCGAUGCAAACUACGAAUACCGAAGAAUGUUAUCACGGGAGACACACGGCGGGUGCUAACGUCCGUCGUGAAGAGGGAAACAACCCAGACCGCCAGCUAAGGUCCCAAAGUCAUGGUUAAGUGGGAAACGAUGUGGGAAGGCACAGACAGCCAGGAUGUUGGCUUAGAAGCAGCCAUCAUUUAAAGAAAGCGUAAUAGCUCACUGGUCGAGUCGGCCUGCGCGGAAGAUGUAACGGGGCUAAACCAUGCACCGAAGCUGCGGCAGCGACACGAUGUGUUGUUGGGUAGGGGAGCGUUCUGUAAGCCUGCGAAGGUGUGCUGUGAGGCAUGCUGGAGGUAUCAGAAGUGCGAAUGCUGACAUAAGUAACGAUAAAGCGGGUGAAAAGCCCGCUCGCCGGAAGACCAAGGGUUCCUGUCCAACGUUAAUCGGGGCAGGGUGAGUCGACCCCUAAGGCGAGGCCGAAAGGCGUAGUCGAUGGGAAACAGGUUAAUAUUCCUGUACUUGGUGUUACUGCGAAGGGGGGACGGAGAAGGCUAUGUUAGCCGGGCGACGGUUGUCCCG